rnacentral:rRNA from 1 species
CAAUAGCGUAUAUUAAAGUUGUUGCAGUUAAAAAGCUCGUAGUUGGAUUUCGGGUGGGAAUGGCCGGUCCGCCGUUUCGGUGUGCACUUGCUACGCCCACCUUGCUGCCGGGGACGUGCUCUUGAGUUCACGCUCGGGACACGGAGUCGGCGAGGUUACUUUGAGUAAAUUAGAGUGUUCAAAGCAGGCCUACGCUCUGAAUACAUUAGCAUGGAAUAACACGAUAGGACUCUGGCCUAUCUUGUUGGUCUGUAGGACCGGAGUAAUGAUUAAGCGGGACAGUCGGGGGCAUUCGUAUUUCAUUGUCAGAGGUGAAAUUCUUGGAUUUAUGAAAGACGAACUACUGCGAAAGCAUUUGCCAAGGAUGUUUUCAUUAA